GAUGAACGCUGGCGGCGUGCCUAAUACAUGCAAGUCGAGCGAACAGACGAGGAGCUUGCUCCUCUGACGUUAGCGGCGGACGGGUGAGUAACACGUGGAUAACCUACCUAUAAGACUGGGAUAACUUCGGGAAACCGGAGCUAAUACCGGAUAAUAUAUUGAACCGCAGGGUUCAAUAGUGAAAGACGGUUUUGCUGUCACUUAGAGAGGGAUCCGCGCCGCAUUAGCUAGUUGGUAAGGUAACGGCUUACCAAGGCAACGAUGCGUAGCCGACCUGAGAGGGUGAUCGGCCACACUGGAACUGAGACACGGUCCAGACUCCUACGGGAGGCAGCAGUAGGGAAUCUUCCGCAAUGGGCGAAAGCCUGACGGAGCCACGCCGCGUGAGUGAUGAAGGUCUUCGGAUCGUAAAACUCUGUUAUUAGGGAAGAACAAAUGUGUAAGUAACUAUGCACGUCUUGACGGUACCUAAUCAGAAAGCCACGGCUAACUACGUG
rnacentral:rRNA from 1 species